rnacentral:rRNA from 1 species
CUACGGGGGGCUCCAGUGAGGAAUUUUCCACAAUGGGCGAAAGCCUGAUGGAGCGACGCCGUGUGAGCGAUGAAGUCUUUCGGGAUGUAAAGCUCUGUCAGAGGGGACGAUAUUGACGGUACCCUCAGAGGAAGCCCCGGCUAACUACGUGCCAGCAGCCGCGGUAAUACGUAGGGGGCGAGCGUUGUCCGGAAUUACUGGGCGUAAAGCGUGCGUAGGUGGUAUGUUAAGUCAGGUGUAAAAGGUUGCGGCUCAACCGCAUCAUGCAUUUGAUACUGGCGUACUUGAGAGAUACAGAGGAAAGCGGAACUUACGGUGUAGCGGUGAAAUGCGUAGAUAUCGUAAGGAACACCAGUGGCGAAGGCGGCUUUCUGGGUAUUUUCUGACACUGAGGCACGAAAGCUAGGGGAGCAAACGGGAUUAGAUACCCGGGUAGUC